CUGCCCUAAGCGUGUCCAAAUGGAGCAUUUCAAAGGCAUAGACCUUCUGUACCAAAAUACAAAAUUCUCAACUUUAUUUACUUUAUUUAUUUUUUCGAGACAGGGUCUUGCUCUGUCGCCCAGGCUGAAGCGAAGUAGCACCAUUACUGCUUACUGUAGCCUUGAACUCCUGGACGCAAGCAAUCCUCCCACCUCAGCCUCCCACGUAGCUUGGACCAUAGCCAUGCUCCACUAUGCUCA
rnacentral:lncRNA from 10 species